rnacentral:misc_RNA from 1 species
GGAAGGAUCAUUGAAUCUAUUGAAUCCACACUGUGAACCUAUUGUCUCGCCGGCAUCGGGGGCUUGUCUCUUGGCAAGUGCUAGGCGGUUGGCAACAACCGUUAGCUAAUUGCAUGCCUUAGUGCAUGUGAUUACCCUGGUGUUGUGAUGCAUAACAACCUACACACCUAACCAAAACAACUGAAGCUAAAGACUGCUAGCUCUGCUAGUUGUCAUAACCAAAGACAACUCUCAACAACGGAUAUCUUGGCUCUCGCAACGAUGAAGAACGCAGCGAAAUGCGAUACGUAGUGUGAAUUGCAGAAUUCCGUGAACCAUCGAAUCUUUGAACGCAUAUUGCGCUCGAGGCUCCGGCCAAGAGCAUGUCUGCCUCAGCGUCGGUUUUACCCCUCGCUUUAUCAUCCUAGGAUGAAGCCUUCGGGCUGUCAAAGCGGAUCUGGCCUUCCCAACUUGUUUAAUAGGUUGGGUUGGCUGAAGUGCAGAGGCUAGAGCUUGGACCCAAUAUGGGCUUCAACUGGAUAGGUAGCACCAGCCUCGGCUGACUACACGAAGUUGAUGCUUGUGGUCUUUGUUGGCGGCCAGCAGGAAACCUUUAAACCCUCGACCUGAGCUCAGGCAAGAUUACCCGCUGAACUUAAGCAUAUCAAUAAGCGGAGGAAAAGAAACUAACCAGGAUUCCCCUAGUAACGGCGAGCGAACCGGGAAGAGCCCAACUUGAAAAUCUCCCUUUGGAGAAUUGUAGUCUAUAGAAGUACCCUCUGUAGCGUGCGGAGCCCAAGUCCCCUGGAAAGGGGCGUCAGAGAGGGUGAGAACCCCGUCGGCUCCUGCAUAGCUGCCUCACGAGGUGCUUUCCACGAGUCGGGUUGUUUGGGAAUGCAGCCCUAAUUUGGUGGUAAAUCCCAUCUAAGGCUAAAUAUUGGCGAGAGACCGAUAGCGAACAAGUACCGUGAGGGAAAGAUGAAAAGAACUUUGAAAAGAGAGUCAAAAAGUGCUUGAAAUUGUUGAGGGGGAAGCGAUUGGAAGGUAUGGGUGCGCCUAGGCUUAUGCGUCUCUAACGAGCCGCUGUAUGUGCUAGGCGCUGGUCAGCAAGGGUUAGGUUAGCAGGAUAAAAGCAGGGGUUGUUACCCUGCCUAUACUGCUGGCUUGACCAAGGCGUGAAGGCUGCCCUUGUCCUUCGGGAACUGCAGCCUCAAGUUGCUGGCGGAAACUUUCCAAUCGACCCGUCUUGAAACACGGACCAAGGAGUCUAACAUGUAUGCGAGUUGGUGGGUGGAAAACCCAUAAGCGCAAGUAACCUGACUGGUGGGAUGGCCUGUGCCUGCACCAUCGACCGACCAUGAGCUUCUGCGAAAGGUUUGAGUGCGAGCAUACCUGUUGGGACCCGAAAGAUGGUGAACUAUGCCUGAGCAGGGUGAAGCCAGAGGAAACUCUGGUGGAGGCUCGUAGAUGUGCUGACGUGCAAAUCGCUUUUCGGACUUGGGUAUAGGGGCGAAAGACUAAUCGAACCAUCUAGUAGCUGGUUCCCUC